CCUCCAUGACUGGGAUAACUGGCCGAAAGGCUUGCUAAUACCAGAUAAGCCCACGAGGACUUCGGUCCAUGAGGGAAAAGGCGGCCUCUGUAAACAAGCUGUCACAGGGAGAUGAGUCCGCGGCCCAUCAGCUAGUUGGGCGGGGUAAAGGCCCACCAAGGCAACGACGGGUAGCUGGUCUGAGAGGAUGAUCAGCCACACUGGAACUGAGACACGGUCCAG
rnacentral:rRNA from 1 species